AACGCAUCUUGCGCUCUUUGGUAUUCCGAGGAGCAUGCCUGUUUGAGUGUCAUUGAAAACUCUCAAGAACCUCUUUGUUACAAGGAGGAGCUUGGAUUGCUGGAGCAUUGCAGGUCCUCGUGACUUCUGCUGCUCUCAAAUGUAUUAGUGGAAGGACUUCCUUUGGACUUGUCUUCACUGGCAUUGAUAGUUGAUAUUUUCUAUGCCGUUUGGGUGCAAGCAAGAGUAAAGGAAUGUUUGAGCUUCUGCUCUCCAACUGUGCUCUUCAAUUUUUGAAGACCUUUUGAUCCAUUUGACCUCAAAUCAGGUAGGACUACCCGCUGAACUUAA
rnacentral:misc_RNA from 1 species